GCAGUUGUGGCCAAGCGGUUAAGAUGAUGGAUUAGAAAUCCAUUGGGGUCUUCCUGCACAGGUUCAAAUCCUGUCAACUACA